AGAGUUUGAUCCUGGCUCAGGAUGAACGCUGGCGGCAUGCCUAACACAUGCAAGUCAACUGUGCUGAUAGCAAUAUUAGUAUGGUGGCGGACGGGUGAGUAACACGUAAAUAACCUGCCCUAUAGACAGGGAUAACUUUUCGAAAGAAGAGCUAAUACCUGAUGGACUUACGAGAGGAAGAUAUUGUAAGUAAAGAGAAUUCGCUAUAGGAGGGGUUUGCGGGCCAUUAGCUAGUUGGUGAGGGUAAGAGCCCACCAAGGCGACGAUGGAUAGCCGGCCUAAGAGGGUGUACGGCCACAAGGGAACUGAGAGACGGUCCUUACUCCUACGGGAGGCAGCAGUGGGGAAUCUUGCGCAAUGGGCGGAAGCCUGACGCAGCAAUGCCGCGUGAAUGAAGAAGGCCUUCGGGUCGUAAAGUUCUUUUAGUAGGGAAGAAAAAAAUGACGGUACCUACAGAAAAAGCCACGGCUAAUCACGUGCCAGCAGCCGCGGUAAUACGUGAGUGGCAAGCGUUAUCCGGAAUUACUGGGCGUAAAGGGCGUGUAGGUGGUUGCAUAAGUCAUAGGUAAAAACACUAAGCUUAACUUAGAUGGAGCCUAUGAAACUGUAUGACUAGAGUAUAGGAUAGGAAGAUGGAAUUAUUACUGUAGCGGUGAAAUGCGUAGA
rnacentral:rRNA from 1 species